UACGUAGGGUGCAAGCGUUGUCCGGAAUUAUUGGGCGUAAAGAGCUCGUAGGCGGUUUGUCGCGUCUGCUGUGAAAACCCGAGGCUCAACCUCGGGCCUGCGGUGGGUACGGGCAGACUAGAGUGAUGUAGGGGAGACUGGAAUUCCUGGUGUAGCGGUGAAAUGCGCAGAUAUCAGGAGGAACACCGAGUGCAAGGCGGGUCUCUGGGCAACAACUGACGCUGAGGAGCGAAAGCGUGGGGAGCGAACAGG
rnacentral:rRNA from 1 species